GAUUUUCUUUUUGCAGGUUUUCUUGUUUUUCCGUUUGGUUUCAGGGCUCAGAGGUAUAUUUGUUUCUUUUCUGGGUUGUUAUUUUCUUUACUGUCAGUGACAUAUUAAGAGUGCUUUCAUAGAUGAGUUGUACUAGCACUUUGCUGGGUUGUGAUUUUCUUUAUUGUCAGUGACAUAUUAAGAGUGCGUUCAUAGAUGAGUUGUACUAAACACUUGAAUGAUCACAUAUUAAGUUUGCUUUGAGCUUGUCAACUUCGUUAUCAGUUUUUGAAUAUCUUCUUUUUGUGCUUGUCAAUUUCAUGGCUCACCAUAUGCAUGAUGGACAAGUUAAUUGACCUCAGGCAUUAUUUUUUCAGUAGCUGUUGAUUAUUUGUAAAUCUAGACUAGAAUCUGUUGCAUGCAUGAAUCUUCGACUUCUAAUUUUUUGACCUAUUGUAUAAAUAAGUUAUCUGCUUCAUGAGUCAUAAGAGAAUUCAUUGUUCAGAAAAUUUUAACUUGUAGUUGGCCUUCAUGAGGAGAUUUUCUUCACUCUGUUCAACAGCAACUAACACCUGAGUUUCGAGAAGUUUGAACUACCUCAGUGGGGAAUUUGAUAUAUGUAAAAGAUCUUAGCAUUCUGCGUCAGCAUAGUUUCUCUGAGCUAAUUGUAAACAAGGCAGGGGGUGAAAGUGGACCGCUUUUUCAUUUUUAUGUACAUGAGGAUGUGCGAACAAUUGCCGAUGCUACAAUAGAGAAGGAUGAGGUUAUCAAUAAGAGUGGAGCUACUCCAGCAAUA